rnacentral:miRNA from 1 species
CCAACGGCAGAUAGUGCCUACAAUGUUUCCUUGUGUCGCCGUCAGUCAUUCAUGUUACUCCAUGAAUGUAGAAUCGUAGCUCAGUACGUGUAAAUAAUUUCAUAUUUUCCGCAAGACAAUUCUAUAAUACAAAUGUAUACAGGAGUGGGUCAAGCGACGGGCCCGCGCCGUGUCACCAGUGCGUAGGAGCACCGCUGCGUCAUCCACGUGCAUCUCAAAAACCUUUCCACAAAAACUCACGCUAACCGACUAGCGAGGCAAAAGGCGACGAAGCUUUUAAACUUUAGGAACUUUUUCCCGUCGUAUCGCAUUCGUCAAGUGACAAGUACCUACACAAAGUGUCUAAUUAGUAUUCAUCUGGGCGCGUGUAGACCUCUUCGCGGUGGGGACGGGUUAUUAGCCGGCGCCGCCUCCGCGCCCAGGCAUAUUGUUCCGAGUUCUGCCCACCGAGCGCCGUACGCUCGCCCGACCAACGAUAAUUCAUAUUGUCAAUAUUUGUACUGCAACAACGAACCGACGAUUUCACCAGAGGAAGCCGAGCCGGUGGCUGGGAAGGCAAGAAGUCGGCAUAGCUGUUUGAAAAUGAUAUACGGCUGUGUCACUUCGAGCCAGCUCAAUCCACCGGCUUUCUGCAUAAAGAAGAUUUGCGGACGCUGCCGUAACGUGAAAAUUCGGAUCGCUCCCGUAGCGGCGCGACUCCGGCCGGGAGAGGGCGCAUUGACAGCUGUCACUGGGCACUAUUUCGCUUUCUUCGCGGCCGGACGUGGGAGGAAAUCGUUUAUUUUUAUCACACACGACGAUGUUCCCGUAGAGUGCGACCGGCUGUGUACGUGCGUGACGAAACGAUCGAAAACAAGACGACAAAAUGCCGAACGAGGAGGUGUUGGGUCCGCGGAAGACGAUGUUCGUACUAGUGAUUGUUGUGGGAUGUUUCGCGGUGCUGUGGCCCAGGAUUCUGUCGCCGCUGAUCUUGGGCCACUCGCGGGACCAGCUCAAACCGAACGCGUUCGACCGGGAGGCAGGAUGCUGCGAAGUGAUGUUCGAGACAGAACUGGCGGUAUUGGAACUGAUCAACGAGGUAUGUAGUUCAGCAGUCCACGUGGACGGAAAGCUCUCUCCAUACGCCGCGGCGGAGUGUCGCAAAGCCGUCAACGAGACCUGCGGAGUAGAUAUAGCGGCAUUCCUCAAACGAAAUGAGAACAUCGGCAAGACCUCCAAGAAACUAGUCGAGACUAUGAAGAACAGCAACUCCUCGUGCCUUAAGGAGCAUUUUGGCGUGCCCGUCUGGAGUCUCGCUCCUCACCAGGCGUUCAACUCAUGGACCCUACAAGACACUGUAAAACAAGAGCGUCCUCUGAACCGCGGCGCAGGGCCGCAUCCAGCACUGCGAGAGCGGGGCCGCGCGAUUCCUCAGGGCGUGGCCCCCGCGAGACCCGCGACACCGAUGCCGCCCCACGUUCGGCCACCACCGAUCCCGGGCAUGCGGCCCCCGCUCGGCUCGCCCGGGGGUCCGGUGCCCACGCCCAAGUCGUCCAUGGGGUUCGUCAUGCCGAUCUACACGAUAUGCAUCAUAGUGUUCUUCGUGUACACACUUAGCAAGAUCCUGUUCAAGCGCACCGCGUCCCCCUACGAGCCUGUUAGUCCCGACCCCCACUUCAGGAGCAGGGUGUUCCGCGACGACUCCAGGACGUCGCCCGACAAGCUCGUUGUUACUGCAAUAUCGGGCCUGGUGGCAGAGGUACAGCAGCAGAUGGAGGCGAGCUACGCGCAAAACCAGCAGCGACAGGAGGCCCAGGAUGAGCAGGCUCGCCCGUACACGAACGGUACAAUACUUCACAACACCGGCCCGGUGCAUAUCGUCGCCAGCGAAUACCAGGAAGUAUCCAAGGAAAAGACUCCUGAACCUCAGAGGGAAGUGCCAGAACCUUCACCUGAAGUGAAGGAACCUGCCCCUGAACCUGAAAAGCCUCUGUCAAAAGAAUCUUUAGAGACGAAAGAGUCUGAGGAAUUAGAGGCUGAAAAACAAGAAGAAUUGGUUCAAGAAAUACCUGCAACACAAUCUGAAGAAGCAGAGACGGACGAUGUUAAAGAAGAGAAGGGUCCAGAAGAAAAUGACUUAAAACUCGUUGCUGACGAUGAAGUGGACGAAAAUGGUGGCGAAGCUAAAUUCGAUAAAGAAGAAUCGGGUUCAGAGCCAGAGUUAAUAGAAAUUAAUAAUAAAGAGGAUGAACUGAUUAAAUUAACAAACGAUGACGUAGAAAGCGAUGACUACGUCAAAGUGGUACAGGAUUUCUUGAACGAGGAAGCUAAAAUAGACGUGAAAGAAGAGAAACAAUCGACUCCGGAUCUCCUGGAAGUAGCUAUUAAAGAGGACUCGCCUGAUAAACCUGAGGAUGACCAAGAAAAUGCUAGUGUAAAGGUGUUACCGUUUGUGAAGGAGAUGUCGCCAAAAUGUGUUUUGUUACAAAACUGUACGGCGCUCAGUGUGAGUCCUGGGAUUUUGUGAGCAUUCCCUCUCAUCCAGGCGCCAAGGCUUCAGGUGUCCGCGUUUAUCCAUGACAUACACCAUCCACACAUUUGAAGUAUUCACAGUCACUAGAUGUUAGGUUUCGUAAUGAGCUGUUAUU